UAGCUCAGCUGGUAAAGCAUCCGCCUGCAGUGCGGGAGACCUGGGUUCGAUCCCUG
rfam:TPA: Bos taurus chromosome 9, whole genome shotgun sequence.